GACGAACGCUGGCGGCGUGCUUAACGCAUGCAAGUCGAACGGAAAGGCCCUGCUUUUGUGGGGUGCUCGAGUGGCGAACGGGUGAGUAACACGUGAGUAACCUGCCCUUGACUUUGGGAUAACUUCAGGAAACUGGGGCUAAUACCGGAUAGGAGCUCCUGCUGCAUGGUGGGGGUUGGAAAGUUUCGGCGGGUGGGGAUGGACUCGCGGCUUAUCAGCUUGUUGGUGGGGUAGUGGCUUACCAAGGCUUUGACGGGUAGCCGGCCUGAGAGGGUGACCGGCCACAUUGGGACUGAGAUACGGCCCAGACUCCUACGGGAGGCAGCAGUGGGGAAUAUUGCACAAUGGGCGGAAGCCUGAUGCAGCAACGCCGCGUGCGGGAUGACGGCCUUCGGGUUGUAAACCGCUUUCGCCUGUGACGAAGCGUGAGUGACGGUAAUGGGUAAAGAAGCACCGGCUAACUACGUG
rnacentral:rRNA from 1 species